rnacentral:rRNA from 1 species
GACGAACCGUACGAACGUUAUUCGGAAUUACUGGGCUUAAAGGGUGCGCAGGCGGCUUGGCAAGUUGGGUGUGAAAUACCUCGGCUCAACCGAGGAAGGGCGCUCAAAACUGCCGAGCUAGAGGGAGAUAGAGGUGAGCGGAACUUAAGGUGGAGCGGUGAAAUGCGUUGAUAUCUUAAGGAACACCCGUGGCGAAAGCGGCUCACUGGAUCUCUUCUGACGCUCAGGCACGAAAGCCAGGGGAGCGAACGGG